AGGGAAUCUUCGGCAAUGGACGGAAGUCUGACCGAGCAACGCCGCGUGAGUGAAGAAGGUUUUCGGAUCGUAAAGCUCUGUUGUAAGAGAAGAACGAGUGUGAGAGUGGAAAGUUCACACUGUGACGGUAACUUACCAGAAAGGGACGGCUAACUACGUGCCAGCAGCCGCGGUAAUACGUAGGUCCCGAGCGUUAUCCGGAUUUAUUGGGCGUAAAGCGAGCGCAGGCGGUUAGAUAAGUCUGAAGUUAAAGGCUGUGGCUUAACCAUAGUACGCUUUGGAAACUGUUUAACUUGAGUGCAGAAGGGGAGAGUGGAAUUCCAUGUGUAGCGGUGAAAUGCGUAGAUAUAUGGAGGAACACCGGUGGCGAAAGCGGCUCUCUGGUCUGUAACUGACGCUGAGGCUCGAAAGCGUGGGGAGCAAACAGGGUUAGAUACCCUGGUAGUCCACGCCGUAAACGAUGAGUGCUAGGUGUUGGGUCCUUUCCGGGACUCAGUGCCGCAGCUAACGCAUUAAGCACUCCGCCUGGGGAGUACGACCGCAAGGUUG
rnacentral:rRNA from 1 species